GUACUUCUGAAGAGUCCUGAACUAGGACGAAACAGCUGUCGAGUAC
rnacentral:hammerhead_ribozyme from 1 species